rnacentral:rRNA from 1 species
UACGGAGGGAGCUAGCGUUGUUCGGAAUUACUGGGCGUAAAGCGCACGUAGGCGGCUUUUUAAGUCAGGGGUGAAAUCCCGGGGCUCAACCCCGGAACUGCCCUUGAAACUGGGAAGCUAGAAUCUUGGAGAGGCGAGUGGAAUUCCGAGUGUAGAGGUGAAAUUCGUAGAUAUUCGGAAGAACACCAGUGGCGAAGGCGGCUCACUGGCGCAUUUCUGACGCUGAGGUGCGACAGCGUGGGGAGCAAACAGG